rnacentral:misc_RNA from 1 species
GCAAACUUGGUCAUUUAGAGGAAGUAAAAGUCGUAACAAGGUCUCCGUUGGUGAACCAGCGGAGGGAUCAUUACCGAGUUUCCACGCGAACUCCCAAACCCACCGUGAACCUUACCUCUCGUUGCUUCGGCGGGCUCGGCCCCGGGGCCGCCCCCCAGCGGGCGGGCCCCGGACGACAGGCCCCCGCCGGAGGCCCCAGAACUCUCGUGUUUCCCCUCCCGGGCGCCCCCCGGGAGCGUCUUCUCUGAGUGGCGCCGACCCCCCAGCGGGGCGCGCGCGACACGCAAACAAAACGAAUCAAAACUUUCAACAACGGAUCUCUUGGUUCUGGCAUCGAUGAAGAACGCAGC